GCCGCCGUCUCUGUGGUAGCCGGGGCCCCGCCCCUCCUCGGACUCUGACCAGUACUGAACUCGCGGCUGCAAGGCUCCAGAGUCCCUCGGGUCUCAGGUCAUGGCGGUCCCGGGGCCUGCGCCCGGAGCUGGCGCCAGACCCAGGUUAGAUCUGCAGUUUCUCCAGCGGUUCCUGCAGAUACUGAAGGUUUUGUUUCCUUCUUGGUCAUCACAGAAUACCUUAAUGUUCCUGACCCUUUUGUGCCUGACCCUACUGGAGCAAUUGGUGAUCUACCAGGUUGGCUUGAUCCCCAGUCAGUACUAUGGGGUCCUGGGAAACAAAGACUUGGAAGGGUUUAAGACUCUGACAAUCCUGGCUGUCAUGCUCAUUGUUCUGAACUCCACGCUGAAGAGCUUUGAUCAGUUCACCUGCAACCUGCUGUAUGUGAGCUGGAGGAAGGACCUCACUGAGCACCUCCACUGCCUCUACUUCCGGGGCCGUGUGUACUACACCCUCAACGUGCUGCGGGAUGACAUCGAUAACCCGGACCAGCGCAUCAGCCAGGAUGUGGAGCGAUUCUGCCGGCAGCUCAGCAGCAUGGCCAGCAAGCUGAUCAUCUCCCCAUUCACCCUCGUCUACUACACUUACCAGUGCUUCCAAAGCACAGGCUGGCUCGGGCCUGUGAGCAUCUUUGGGUAUUUCAUCCUGGGGACUGUGGUGAACAAAACUUUGAUGGGCCCCAUUGUGACGAAGCUGGUGCAUCAGGAGAAGCUGGAGGGAGAUUUUAGGUUCAAGCACAUGCAGAUUCGGGUGAAUGCGGAGCCUGCUGCUUUCUACAGAGCUGGGCAUGUGGAGCACAUGAGGACAGACCGCAGGCUGCAGAGACUCCUUCAGACCCAGAGGGAGCUGAUGUCCAAGGAGCUCUGGCUGUACAUUGGCAUCAACACCUUUGACUAUCUGGGCAGCAUCCUGAGUUACGUUGUCAUCGCAAUCCCCAUUUUCAGCGGGGUCUAUGGAGACCUGAGUCCCGCAGAGCUUAGCACCCUGGUCAGCAAGGUGAGACUCCCUCUUGGUGACACCUCAUGCUGUCCCUCUCUGUCCUUGGCUCAGUGUCUGUGGGCUGGAGUCAGGACCCGCUUGACCUCUGCCCAUCCUGCCCAGAAUGCCUUUGUGUGCAUCUACCUCAUCAGCUGCUUCACCCAGCUCAUCGACCUGUCCACAACGCUCUCGGAUGUGGCUGGCUACACGCACAGAAUUGGGCAGCUUCAGGAGACGCUGUUGGACAUGUCCCUGAAGUUGCAGGACUGCGAGAUGCUGGGCGAGAGCGAGUGGGGCUUGGACACAGCCCCAGGGUGGCCAGUGGCAGAACCAGCAGACACAGCGUUUCUCCUUGAGCGGGUCUCCAUCUCUGCCCCUUCCUCUGACAAACCCCUAAUCAAGGAUCUGAGCCUAAAGAUCUCCGAGGGACAGAGCCUGCUCAUCACAGGCAACACGGGCACUGGCAAGACCUCCUUGCUUCGGGUUCUGGGCGGCCUCUGGACGAGUACACGGGGCUCAGUGCAGAUGCUGACGGACUUUGGGCCCCAUGGGGUGCUAUUCCUGCCACAAAAGCCGUUCUUCACUGACGGGACCCUUCGGGAGCAGGUGAUAUAUCCCCUGAAGGAGGUCUACCCCGACUCAGGUGAGCUGGUCCUCCUUAGGUCAUGUCCUUUCCUUCUGUCGCGGUUGUCCCUGCUCUACCUGACUGUGGCCUCACCUGUGCCCUUUGGGAGAGGCUCCAGCUAGGCCGCUGAUUCAAGGAAGAGUAGCUCCUCUCCUCUUCCUUUGACUGUUUUGGGGUCUGCACCCAGAUCUCACCUCAUUCUGUCUUUCUGUCCUUAAGGAGAGACGCCCACUGGGACAAGGAAAGUGAUGCCUUCCUUCACCCACCCCUUCCCUUAUCAAGGGCUGCAACCUGUGGUUUCAAAGCCUUCGCCCAGCAUUCUGAGGCCCCCACCCCUGCCAUCAUCCAUGGUGUGCCCUGUCUAUUCUUUUUUUUUUUUUUGAGAUGGAGUUUCACUCUGUCAUCCAGACUGGAGUGCAGUGGUGUGAUCUCGGCUCACUGCAACCUCCACCUCCCAGGUUCAAGUAAUUCCCCUGCCUCAGCGUCUUAAGUAGCUGGGACUACAGGUGCAUGCCACCACACCUGCCUAAUUUUUGUAUAUUUAGUAGAGACAGGGUUUCACCGUGUUGGCCAGGGUGGUCUCUAUCUCCUGACCUUGUGAUCCACCCGCCUCGGUCUCCCAAAAUGCUGGGAUUACAGGCGUGAGCCACUGUGCCCAGCUUUGCCCUGUCUAUUUUGACCAGCCAGGAGGCUCUGGCUUUUUGCAGAAGGCUUCUCUGUUGUGCAGGUUCUGCUGAUGAUGAGAGGAUCUUGAGGUUCUUGGAAUUGGCAGGCCUGGUAUGAUGUUCUGUCCCCGGGAGAGAUGCAACGGCUCUCCUUUGCCCGACUCUUCUACCUGCAGCCGAAGUACGCAGUGCUUGAUGAAGCCACCAGUG